GAUUAAGAACGCAGCGAAAUGCGAUAAGUAAUGUGAAUUGCAGAAUUCAGUGAAUCAUCGAAUCUUUGAACGCACAUUGCGCCCCUUGGUAUUCCGAGGGGCAUGCCUGUUCGAGCGUCAUAUUAACCACUCCCGCUUGCGGGGUCUUGGGCUUCGCCUCCGGGCGGGCCUUAAAAUCAGUGGCGGUGCCGUCGGGCUCUACGCGUAGUAAAUUUUCUCGCGAUAGGGUCCCGGUGGAUGCUUGCCAACAACCCCCAACUUCUUAAGGUUGACCUCGGAUCAGGUAGGGAUACCCGCUGAACUUAAGCAUAUCAAUAAGCGGAGGA
rnacentral:misc_RNA from 1 species